UACUCGAGUGGCGAACGGGUGAGUAACACGUGGGUGAUCUGCCCUGCACUUCGGGAUAAGCCUGGGAAACUGGGUCUAAUACCGGAUAGGAGCCAUUUUUAGUGUGAUGGUUGGAAAGUUUUUUCGGUGUAGGAUGAGCUCGCGGCCUAUCAGCUUGUUGGUGGGGUAAUGGCCUACCAAGGCGGCGACGGGUAGCCGGCCUGAGAGGGUUGACGGCCACAUUGGGACUGAGAUACGGCCCAG
rnacentral:rRNA from 1 species